GUGCCAGCAGCCGCGGUAAGACGAACCGUGCGAACGUUGUUCGGAAUCACUGGGCUUAAAGGGAGCGUAGGCGGGCUCGCAAGUCAGGGGUGAAAUCCGGCAGCUUAACUGUCGAAGUGCCCUUGAUACUGAUGAGCUCGAGGGAGGUAGGGGUCUGUGGAACUUCCGGUGGAGCGGUGAAAUGCGUUGAUAUCGGAAGGAACGCCGGUGGCGAAAGCGACGGACUGGACCUCUUCUGACGCUGAGGCGCGAAAGCCAGGGGAGCAAACGGGAUUAGAUACCCCGGUAGUCC
rnacentral:rRNA from 1 species